rnacentral:lncRNA from 10 species
CACCCUCCCAGGCUACCGUGUGUGGGAAAAGCAGCAGGCACUGUUAAAUGAAAGCGGUGUUGGCCACGUCCCCUCCCAGUUUAGUCUAGGAUACUGAACCCAGAGAUGGACAGUAUUUCUCUCAAGGUCACACAGCCAGGCAGGAGUGGAGAGGAGCCCAAGUCCAGGGCCCAGAGUCCCCUCUGGUACCCCAGUGGGGUAGGGGUGGGGGAAGGCUGGGGCCUGCUGGGGCCUGGAGCCCUGGCCUCACCAUGGUAAAUCUCCUGCAGGGAGCCCCCUCCGCAGAACUCCAUGCAGAUCCACAAGCGGUCAUUCCUAGGGACAAAGAGCUGGGGUGGGCACAAAGCAGGUCACAUGGGGGCUGCCUGGGGCCAGGAGGAUAAGGCAGCCUCACC